AGGAGACACCAAGAAAUCGUCAGUCACAUCCAGUGAAGAUUAAGACGACGUCGAGAUGCUGGUCUCGGCUGGCCCCCGAAGAAAUGGAGAUCAGUGAUCGGAUCUGGAAUGCUGCCGGCAACUGCUGUUCGGCUCAGUGUGGACAAGUACUGCAAUGAAGACAGCAUCUGCCUUUGUAGACAUUUGCUGGAGGCGUUUAGUACACAUAACUUCUCAUUCUGCUUGACGUGAAACUUUUGUGCGACAGAACCUUUGCGAACAUUUGAAAAUGUAAAAUGAAUAAACUGAACGCAUGAGUUGCUGAAGUAAACCUGCUUCUAUUGAGACUUCAUACUUACGUUAAAUGAAAAAAUUGCCAAUAAAGUUUGUAGUGCUGUA